rnacentral:tRNA from 1 species
UGCGGGGUGGAGCAGUCUGGUAGCUCGUAGGGCUCAUAACCCGAAGGUCGUUGGUUCAAAUCCAACCCCCGCAUCCA